rnacentral:pre_miRNA from 1 species
GAUAAAUCAAUCUUUCACUUUUUACCUAUAAUGUUUGACAUUUUGUCUUAUUUGAAAAAAUUAUAAUUAAUAUUUUUAUUUUUAUUAGAUAAUAAAUUGUGAAUAGUAAUUUACGUGUGACUAUUUUUUUAUAAUUUCUAAAAAAAUUUCUAAUAAAACAGAUGGUCAAACGCUGAAUACGAAAACCAAAG